AUGGACUCGCGGCCUAUCAACUUGUUGGUGGGGUAAUGGCCUACCAAGGCGACGACGGGUAGCCGGCCUGAGAGGGCGACCGGCCACACUGGGACUGAGACACGGCCCAGACUCCUACGGGAGGCAGCAGUGGGGAAUAUUGCACAAUGGGCGAAAGCCUGAUGCAGCGACGCCGCGUGAGGGAUGACGGCCUUCGGGUUGUAAACCUCUUUCACCAGGGACGAAGCUAACGUGACGGUACCUGGAGAAGAAGCACCGGCUAACUACGUGCCAGCAGCCGCGGUAAUACGUAGGGUGCGAGCGUUGUCCGGAAUUAUUGGGCGUAAAGAGCUUGUAGGCGGUUUGUCGCGUCUGCUGUGAAAGACCGGGGCUUAACUCCGGUUCUGCAGUGGGUACGGGCAGACUAGAGUGUGGUAGGGGAGACUGGAAUUCCUGGUGUAGCGGUGAAAUGCGCAGAUAUCAGGAGGAACACCGAUGGCGAAGGCAGGUCUCUGGGCCAUUACUGACGCUGAGAAGCGAAAGCAUGGGGAGCGAACAGGAUUAGAUACCCUGGUAGUCCAUGCCGUAAACGUUGGGCGCUAGGUGUGGGACUCAUUCCACGAGUUCCGUGCCGCAGCUAACGCAUUAAGCGCCCCGCCUGGGGAGUACGGCCGCAAGGCUAAAACUCAAAGGAAUUGACGGGGGCCCGCACAAGCGGCGGAGCAUGCGGAUUAAUUCGAUGCAACGCGAAGAACCUUACCAAGGCUUGACAUACACCGGAAUCAUGCAGAGAUGUGUGCGUYUUCGGACUGGUGUACAGGUGGUGCAUGGUUGUCGUCAGCUCGUGUCGUGAGAUGUUGGGGUUAAGUCCCGCAACGAGCGCAACCCUCGUUCCAUGUUGCCAGCACGUAAAGGUGGGGACUCAUGGGAGACUGCCGGGGUCAACUCGGAGGAAGGUGGGGAUGACGUCAAAUCAUCAUGCCCCUUAUGUCUUGGGCUUCACGCAUGCUACAAUGGCCGGUACAGAGGGUUGCGAAACCGUGAGGUGGAGCUAAU
rnacentral:rRNA from 1 species